CCUACGGGGUGCUGCAGUGGGGAAUAUUGGGCAAUGGGCGCAAGCCUGACCCAGCAACGCCGCGUGAGGGAAGAAGGCUUUCGGGUUGUAAACCUCUGUCCUUGGUGACGAAGAAAGUGACGGUAGCCAAGGAGGAAGCCCCGGCUAACUACGUGCCAGCAGCCGCGGUAAUACGUAGGGGGCGAGCGUUGUCCGGAAUUACUGGGCGUCAAGGGUGCGUAGGUGGCCUUUUAAGUUGGAUGUGAAAUACCCGGGCUUAACUUGGGGGGUGCAUCUAAUACUGGAGGGCUAGAGUGCAGGAGAGGGAAGCGGAAUUCCUAGUGUAGCGGUGAAAUGCGUAGAUAUUAGGAGGAACACCAGUGGCGAAGGCGGCUUUCUGGACUGUAACUGACACUGAGGCACGAAAGCGUGGGGAGCAAACA
rnacentral:rRNA from 1 species